AUCACUGAUGUGACCAAUUUAUUUAAAUCUAAGUUGCAUUUUGCAAACAGUGUAAUGUUUCAAAGAUCAGUCUGAUUGUUCUCCAGUGUUAUGUCUUGUAAAUGUUCUCAGUGAUCAACUGUGGUCACAUACACAACAAAGUAAACAUUUGGGAUUCCGAAGGUCCCAAGUUAAAUCUGGUUACACGCCCAAAAUCACCAACAGCUGAACAAUAUGAACAAUAUUUAUUCGAGGGAAAAGAUGCUUGUGUUCAGGUAUGGUUUAGCGUCAUGCCUAGCCGACAAGGUCUCCAUGGAUCCGCAGUCGUAAACACAGUUGUAUUUUUGAACAUUAAAAUGUACAUGGGCACAGUCUUUAUCACCACCUGAGAUGUAACGUUGUAAUAUUGAGUAUCCGGGUGUGCUUCGUGCCCCAGUAAGAGUUAUCCGUUAUACAAUACACAUUUUUUAUGUGGAAUAUGUCGUUCAGACAUUGUUUCAGCCAUUUUGCGGCAAAUUUGCAAUGUACAACACCUUCGACGAAUGAUUCUUAUGGUCAAACUUGGUCAUUUGCCUCUCUGUGUCAACCACGACAGCUUCAAAUCUCUGCAGCACACAGUGGCACAUUAUGCUGUUACGACAUUCGCGAGCCUGUGUCUAAGUGGGAAGAAAGUAGCCCAACACUCCUGUGUCUAGUCGACAGUGGUACACUAAACCGUCGUGUCCUCUCGUUAACACUUUCACAAUAUUUACAUAGUAAGGACGUUAUGGUAGACAGGAAACGCAUUUUAUCUACCCAAAGCAUAAUUACAUCCGAUAAAGUUGUAAUACUUGGGCGCUAAAUCCGAAUUACAGCAGAGAGCAUUUUGUCAGGGAAGGUCUUACACCAGAAAGAGCAUAUUGUCAGGGAAGGUCUAGCAGUAGAGAGCAUAUUGUCAGGGAAGGUCUUACAGCAGAGAGAGCAUAUUGUCAGGGAAGGUCUUACACCUAAAAGAGCAUAUUGUCAGGGAAACUCUUACAGCAGAGAGCAUUUGUCAGGGAAGGUCUCACAGCAGAGAGAGUAUAUUGUCAGGGAAGGUCUAACACCAAAAAGAGCAUAUUGUCUGGGAAGGUCUUACAGCAGAGAGAGCAUAUUGUCAGGGAAGGUCUUACACCAGAAAGAGCAUAUUGUCAUCGAAGAUCUUACAGCAGAGAGAACAUAUU